rnacentral:rRNA from 1 species
AUGGUCUCGGAACAGCUUCGUGAAUAUGAGUUGAAGCAAAGCAAGAAGAAGUUGAGGUUUGAAAGUGAAUCAAAAGAGUUUGCAGAGAAGGAGAAGCAGAGGAGAGCUGCAGAUGGUGCCAAGGGUGCUAAAUUUGCCAAGGUGAAGAAGCCUUCUUUGCAGAAGAAGAGGCUGAGUACUGUUGCUGAGGAAGGUGGUACACCUCGGCGGAGUCCACGUGUUGCUGGCAUGAACAAUAAUCUUGGCAAGAGAACUGCUGAAGCUGGUGGAAAGGAUGAUCCUUAAGGAAGAAGUCUAGUAAGAGCAAUGCAGCUGAAGAUGAUGCUGAGGGAGAUGAUUCUCGAUUUAACAAGACCCGGCCAUGAUGACUCGUUGAGUGCCCUCAAGGAUGAUCUUGGCUUUGACCGUUCAAAAAUUAUAGGUGUCAAAGACUUGCUUGAGAAGUUGAAGGUGUUGGUGGAGGAAGAUGAUCAUGUGACUGUUGACCCUGCUGUGAAGGUGUUCUUCCUGAUACUCUACCAGAAUUUGAUGUGCCCCGGGCCUGCAGUUCGUUUGGGUAGAGUUGCUGCAAAGGUAGAAAACAUGGAUUAUGCGGCUAUGGCUCAGAUGGACUUUUGCCAGCUAGUUGUUGAUGAGUUGCAGGCAGCUGUAGUGAGGUGGCAAACAGAAGGCAGGAAGCAGAAUUGUGCAGAGGGUUGUGCCAUUGUCCCCCUGAUUAUGUAUCUUGACUGCUUGAAGCUUCGCAAAUUUUCAGUCAUGCACACGUUGACGCCACGUGCGUCAUACCUGACGACCAAGGACCUGAUGAAGUUAUACAAUGAGGAUGUGCUUGUGAAGGGAAAGAUUUACUUGGAAACUUACAAAUUUGGGAAGCUGCCGUGGAAGGCGUCAGGUGAUAUUGUGUACAACAGUCCUGUUGCAGUUGUAUGCGGCAGCUCUGAUGGGGGACCUAGCACUCAUGCUAGGUUUUAUGAGCCUACAUGUAGCCAGCUUCCUGCCUGUGAUGAUGAGGUGCCGCGUACUCGUGGUUUCAUGGCUCGACAAAUGUUUGAUAAUAGAAUCUCUUCUAAACAGACAUUUGUUGGCGGCAAAAAACAUGAGGAGAUUGAUGAGCUUCUUCUAAAGGUUUUGAAGUUGACUGAAGAUUUGCCAACCUCUGGUGACAGGUUGAGGACAGUUGCUGGUUUUUUCCCUGUUGGCCAUGGCCCACGAGAUGAAGAUAUUGUUGCUGCUCACAAUUUUGAUUGUGGCGUGAUUGAAAGCCUGAAGAUUGCAGUGACGAAUGUUCAGUCUUCCUAUGCUCAAUUGAGACAUUCACAGGAGAAAAAAUGCGGUCGGUAUGAGAAGGAUGAUGGGCAUAUUUUGGAUGAAAUGAACCGUCAGGACGCUGGCGUUGGCGCUGAUAAUGCUGGAGUGGAAUCUUUUGGUGUCCAUGGAACAAGGGACGACGGAAUUUGUCAGACUGGUGUUGCUGCUUGUGAUGUGCACAAAGAGUCCUACGAUGGCUCUGGGAAGGAUGAGGUCUUGGCUGAUGCAUCGUCCCCUCCGAAUGUUGUAGCUGAUAAGGGUAGUUGCGCUGUUGAUGGUGGUGGCAGUGUUGGUGCUUCUGCAUCGGUUGCCGUCGACUGUGCAGACCCUUCUGUAGCUCAAGAAUUCCAUGAUGCUGUUUCCCCCAGCCAGCAUGAAGAUUCUGAUUUUGGCAUUGAAAAGCCGCUGGAGAAUGCCGUCCCUGCUGUUAGUGUUGUUGCUUCCCCUGUUUGUCUGGCGGCCAACGAUGUUCCUGAAGUAUCGAGAGUGGAGCCUCAUGUAGCUGAAGUAUCUGAGGACGUUGCGGUUGACCAGACUGUUGUAAAUCCAGAGAAUGCUGAUGUUGCUGCAGAAGGGCAGUCCAGUGAGGUUGUGGAGGAUUCAUCGCAAUCUGUCCAAGAAAAUGUUUUGGUCAGCUCUGAAGAACAACAGCAUGAAGACUCUGACACUGAAGGCGAGAGUUUUGUUUCGAACAGUACAGUUGCAGUUUUUCUCAUUUCAUUUUGUUUAAUUACUAUGUCGAGCAUUGAUCCAGCUCUUCUGAAAAGAUACAAUGAGUUGUACGCUUUUGUUACGAGGGUUCGGAAGGACAAGAAGAAGAAGGACAUGAUUGCUUUUAAAACUAAGAUGGGUGAUAUUACCAUUGGCGAAGUUGGUCAAUCCUUUUGGGAUAAAGGGAUGCUCAUUACAAGAGUUGUAGAUCUUGGGGUUUCUUUGCUGGUAGAUAAGUUUAAGGGAUCUCCGACAAUGGUUGUCCCGUACCAUAUUUGUAUAAAUAUUUGGAAUGGUGGUACUGUAGGCAGGAGUGUUAAAAUGAUGUUCUCUUCAAAAGCCGAGGAGCGUGUUGAUAAAAAGGAUAUGGUCCUUUUUGCAACUUUUGAUCCGCCAGAUAUGAGGGAUGGCGUUGGUCAUUAUUGUGUAGUUGCGUUAAAUGUGAAAGAAAGGCGGUUUGAAUUUCUGGACUCGCUCAAUAAACCUAGCAGCCCUGAUGCGAUCAGGGUUUUUAGGAGGAUGGUUAAAAAUAUCAAGCGUGCAUGGAAAGAAGGAAGCUCAAGUUCUGAUGAGCCGCUAAAUCCUCCUACACUUGAUGGAUUUGUGUUGAAACAUGUCAUUGUCCCAAUGCAGCCAAAUGGGCAUGAUUGUGGAUUUUAUAUGUUUCAAUUCUUGCAGACUUGGGAUGGUGUUCGAGUUGCUCAGUUUGGGGUGGAGCACAUUGGCUACAUCAGAAAGGCCAUGCUUUAUAGUUUUGAUGGGGGGCUUCAUGAAGGUUGUACGUCACUGUUCGAGUCCCAGGGUUCUGAGGUGGUUAUGGAGGAAUGUGCCAUUGAAAUCUCUCCAGAUAAUUAUGGUUCUUUGGCUGGAGAUGGUUUGAACACAGUUGUGGCGUCUGGACCUGAUGGUGGAAGUGUUUCUCGGCCUAGCUCUCCACACGAUGUAUUUGAUGUUGAUGAUGAUGAUUUUGUUACGCCGUGUCCUCGCGCCACUAGGGCUAGGAGUGCAGCAAUUAAUCGUCCUCGUGUGGAUGACGUUGAAAUAAUUUCGAACAAGAGGGAAGGUGAAAGGGCUUUUAAGUUGAGAUGCUCUAUAGAGAAAUUGAAGCCUCCGAGGUUCAAAUAUAUUGAUGAGGCGAGGAAAAUAAAGGAUCUUGUUCUCAGCAAAGAUUUUUUAACCAAAUACCAUGAGAAUGCGUUCUUUAUGGUGAAUAGUCCUUUUGGUGAUCUUGAUACUUACACUGUUGACUAUAUAUAUAAUACAUUUGGCAAAGGAGCUUUAAUGGAUUCGUAUCUCAUGGAUUUUGUCAUCAAGUACUGGAAGCAAGACCCUGAAAUGGGUUUAGUUUAUCAUUCUGGUGAACAUGUGCUACUUUCACCCUUAUUUAUCACGUAUGUUCUUCAGAUGGAAACCUUUGUGACGAGAGAUGAUGAAGGAAACCAUGUGUUGCCAGUUGUGCAUAGCCCGUUUGUUUUACAAGAUGCAGUUAACCAGUUCAAGGUUUUUGUGAUUGACGACAUAAACCUGUUGGAUGCAAAACUGAUGAGGAGGAUGACUCAGUUGCUGAAGGCUAUUUAUGGUGAAAAAAUGUAUAAAUCUAAGAACCACCCUGACUGGGUUAAAUUGGUGGAGAAGCCCUCUUACCCGGUCGUGCCAGCGCAGGGAGCAAAUGAGUGCGGAAUCUAUGUUCUGAGGUUGACGCAGUUGUAUGACGGCCAACAUUGGAAGGCGGAGUACAUGUUCCAGUUGCUGUUCAAUCCUUCGAACAUGUUGUGUUAUGAAGACAUGCCGCUUGAGCUACGAGAUCUGAUUGCGGACCUCGGGCUUACUUCCCUGUCGCAAUCGCAGACGCAGUAA